rnacentral:rRNA from 1 species
CCUACGGGUGGCUGCAGUGGGGAAUAUUGGACAAUGGGCGAAAGCCUGAUCCAGCCAUGCCGCGUGUGUGAAGAAGGCCUUCGGGUUGUAAAGCACUUUCAGUGGGGAAGAAAGCCUUGGGGCUAAUACCCUCGAGGAAGGACAUCACCCACAGAAGAAGCACCGGCUAACUCCGUGCCAGCAGCCGCGGUAAUACGGAGGGUGCGAGCGUUAAUCGGAAUUACUGGGCGUAAAGCGCGCGUAGGCGGUCUGAUAAGCCGGUUGUGAAAGCCCCGGGCUCAACCUGGGAACGGCAUCCGGAACUGUCAGGCUAGAGUGCAGGAGAGGAAGGUAGAAUUCCCGGUGUAGCGGUGAAAUGCGUAGAGAUCGGGAGGAAUACCAGUGGCGAAGGCGGCCUUCUGGACUGACACUGACGCUGAGGUGCGAAAGCGUGGGUAGCAAACAGGAUUAGAUACCCGUGUCGUC